UACGUAGGGGGCAAGCGUUGUCCGGAAUCAUUGGGCGUAAAGAGCGUGUAGGCGGCUCGGUAAGUCCGCUGUGAAAGUCCAGGGCUCAACCCUGGAAAGCCGGUGGAAACUGUCGAGCUUGAGUCCGGAAGAGGCGAGUGGAAUUCCUGGUGUAGCGGUAAAAUGCGCAGAUAUCAGGAGGAACACCAAUGGCGAAGGCAGCUCGCUGGGACGGUACUGACGCUGAGACGCGAAAGCGUGGGGAGCAAACAGG
rnacentral:rRNA from 1 species